rnacentral:rRNA from 1 species
UGUUGACGGUACCUUGAUAAUAAGCACCGGCUAACUACGUGCCAGCAGCCGCGGUAAUACGUAGGGUGCGAGCGUUAAUCGGAAUUACUGGGCGUAAAGCGUGCGCAGGCGGUUUUGUAAGACAGAUGUGAAAUCCCCGAGCUCAACUUGGGAACUGCGUUUGAGACUGUAUGACUAGAAUAUGUCAGAGGGGGGUGGAAUUCCACGUGUAGCAGUG